rnacentral:rRNA from 1 species
AACGAACGCUGGCGGCAGGCUUAACACAUGCAAGUCGAACGCCCCGCAAGGGGAGUGGCAGACGGGUGAGUAACGCGUGGGAACGUGCCCUUCGCUUCGGAAUAGCCCCGGGAAACUGGGAGUAAUACCGAAUACGCCGUAUUGGGAAAGAUUUAUCGGCGAAGGAUCGGCCCGCGUUAGAUUAGCGAGUUGGCGGUGUAAUGGACCACCAAGGCUACGAUCUAUAGCUGGUCUGAGAGGAUGAUCAGCCACACUGGGACUGAGACACGGCCCAGACUCCUACGGGAGGCAGCAGUGGGGAAUCUUGGACAAUGGGCGCAAGCCUGAUCCAGCCAUGCCGCGUGAGUGAAGAAGGCCUUAGGGUUGUAAAACUCUUUCGCCGGAGAAGAUAAUGACGGUAUCCGGAGAAGAAGCCCCGGCUAACUUCGUGCCAGCCGCCGCGGUAA